rnacentral:rRNA from 1 species
CAGCUCGUGUCGUGAGAUGUUGGGUUAAGUCCCGCAACGAGCGCAACCCCUGCUGUCAGUUAUACGUGUCUGGCAGGACUGCCGGGUUUCACCCGGAGGAAGGCGGGGAUGACGUCAAAUCAGCAUGGCCCUUACGUCUGGGGCGACACACACGCUACAAUGGUCGGGACAGCGCGCUGCCACCCCGCAAGGGGGCGCAAAUCGUCAAACCCGACCCCANUUCANAUCGAGGGCUGCAACCCGCCCUCGUGAAGGUGGANUUGCU